GACGGACUGACUUACCAUCAGAGGCCACCGGUGCAGCAGGCCCGGCUGUCACUGGAUCUCAGAUGCUCCACUGGGAACUUAGUCGAAGGAUACUCCUAAAGCGACACAGUGGACUGGCAGCGGCUGUGAAAGUACUGACUGGAGGGAAAACAGAAGGGAGCAUUUCUUCAUUGGAGAUCGGCCACAGGCAUGCAGGUUUUGGCUGGUUCCCCACUCUCUGCUAGGCUCUACACUGGUGUGAAGUUUCUUCUGUGUUGAGGAUGGCCCCGACGUGCCUGCGGUGCCUGCUGCGCUACCGCUCCGCCGCGGUCCUGCUGCUCACCCCGCUGCUGCUGCUGCCGCUGCCCGUGGCCGUGCCCACCCCGGUGAGUGCUGGAGCCCCCCGCCCUCCUCUGCCCGG
rnacentral:lncRNA from 1 species